GACGAACGCUGGCGGCGUGCUUAACACAUGCAAGUCGAACGGAAAGGCCCUGCUUGCAGGGUGCUCGAGUGGCGAACGGGUGAGUAACACGUGGGUGAUCUGCCCCUUAUUUUGGGAUAAGCCUGGGAAACUGGGUCUAAUACUGGAUAGGACCAUGCUGUAGGUGGUGUGGUGGAAAGAUUAGUUUCGGUAAGGGAUGAGCUCGCGGCCUAUCAGCUUGUUGGUGGGGUAAUGGCCUACCAAGGCGUCGACGGGUAGCCGGCCUGAGAGGGUGGACGGCAACAUUGGGACUGCGACACGGGCCAGAAGCCUACGAGAGGCAGCAGUGGGGAAUAGUGCACAAUAGGCGCAAGCCGGAUGCAGCGACGCCGCGUGGGGGAUGACGGCCUUCUGGUUGUAAACACCUUUCAGCCAUGACGAAGCCCUUGUGGUGACGGUAGUGGUAGAAGAAGCACCGGCUAACUACGUG
rnacentral:rRNA from 1 species